ACCGUUUCUAGGUGCCACAACAGGGGGCUGUAUGAACGAAGGUUCGUGUCUCUGUUACACCAACAAAGAGACCUCGAAUUGGACUGAGAACAAGACAGCCUCGGACAAGCACUCCCAUGUUUUUAUACAUUCCUUCCUUUCCUGCCACUGGUGCCAGUGCCCUUUGUCUGUGGAGCCAUUCUGUGAACUGGGACAGCAAUCAAAGCCAAAUCUGGAAAAGUGUAAAACUGGAAGUGUAUUUACCAAGGUCCAGGGACAGGUAGCAGAUGCAUAGGUGCAGCAUCCCACAGAUGGCCAAUGCAGAGGAGAAGAAACUGAAGACACAGUGGCUGGAUAGAAUGAAAUAAAUCCAUGCAGAAACUGUAUUGCAGCCCUGAAGCCUUCCAGUCUGCUUUCAAGUACUCUAAAGACAGACCUGGACCCAAAUAACCUGAACUUGUGUGGAGUUAUCUGUUCUGAGACCUAAGAACCACAAAAACACUGUCAAGGACCAACCUCAAAGCACAAGAA